CAAGGGUUUGGUCCCAGUCUUUAUAUUAAUUUAAACUAUAAUUAUACAUGCAAGUUUCAGCAUACUGGUGAGAAUGCCCUUAAUUCCCCUAUCAGAAAUUAAUGGGGCUGGUAUCAGGCACCAAAAGCCCAUCACACCUUGCUAAGCCACACCUACACAGGAACCCAGCAGUAAUAAACAUUAAACCAUGAGCGGAAAAGCUCGAUUUAGCAAUAGUUUUAAGAGCCGGUAAAUCUCGUGCCAGCCACCGCGGUUAUACGAGAGACUCAAAUUAAUAUGUACGGCUCAAAGAGUAGUUUAAGAACCAACUUAUAAAAUUAAAAAUUUACUAAGCUGUCAUACGCAAAAGCAAAUUAUAAACCCAAAAACGAAAGUCAUUUUAUAUACACUUGAACCUACUACAGUAGAAAGACAAACUGGGAUUAGAUACCCCACUAUGUUCAACUUUAAACUUGAGGUCGUCCCCGCCUGAGUACUACGAGCAACAGCUUAAAACUCAAAGGACUUGGCGGUGCUUUACACCCACCUAGAGGAGCCUGUUCUAUAAUCGAUACCCCCCGAUAAACCUCACCACUUCUAGCCAAUACAGCCUAUAUACCACCGCCCUAGCUAACCCCUCAAAGGUGCAUAUAGUAAGCAAAAUAAUUUAAUAUUAAAAAGUCAGGUCAAGGUGUAGCAUAUGAAGCGGAAAGAAAUGGGCUACAUUUUCUAUUUUAGAAAACACGAAAUAUUUUGUGAAAUAAAAUAUAAAGGAGGAUUUAGAAGUAAAAAGAAAAAAGAGUGUUCUUUUUAAACUGGCAAUAAAGCGCGUACACACCGCCCGUCACCCUCUUCAAAAAUAUAAUAAAUAAAUAAUUAAUAGUUUAAUAAGACGAGGAAAGUCGUAACAUGGUAAGUCUACCGGAAGGUGGCCUUGGAUAU
rnacentral:ncRNA from 1 species